rnacentral:rRNA from 1 species
UACAGAGGGUGCGAGCGUUGUCCGGAAUCACUGGGCGUAAAGGGCGCGUAGGUGGUGGCUUAAGCGUGCGGUGAAAGCUCGGGGCUCAACCCCGAGUCGGCCGUGCGAACUGGGCUCACUGGAGCAUAGUAGAGGCAGGUGGAAUUCCGGGUGUAGCGGUGGAAUGCGUAGAGAUCCGGAAGAACACCGGUGGCGAAGGCGGCCAUCUGGACCGACACUGACGCUGAGGCGCGAAAGCGUGGGGAGCAAACAGG